rnacentral:misc_RNA from 1 species
AGCCCUCUGGACAGGCACUG